CUGGGCUCCUGAAUCUCCACUGUCAGUCAGUCAGCCAUAGGGGCUGGGGAUGAGAGUAGCCUGAGCGUACCGCCAAAGGGUCUUGGUGGGAAUUGUAGCUCUGCCAUUGGUUACUGGGAUGUGACCUUGGCUAGGUCACCUCUCCUCCAAGCACCUUGGUUUCCCCAUCUGUAAAAUGAAUUGGCUGGACCAGACAGUGUCUGAGGCCCCUCCCAGAGCCAGAUCCUCGGAGAACAAUCACGGGGCUGUUUUCUCAUUCGCUCAAUUCUUAACGGCGACAUUAACAGCUCUAAUUGUGCCCAUUACUGGAGGUUAUUAAAGCUUUCUGUCAUUAGCCUUCCUGGCCGGGCUGCUUAGAGCAGCAGGGAGCAGACACGGCGCCGACCAGGGGCUAAGCCUUGAGGAUUCCGCCUCUCCCCCACUCCAUUCCGCCGCCAUGAAUUGUUGCCAUGGCAUCCCUCCUCACAACAGCAAGAGAGAAAGGAAAAGGGGAGGAAAGGAAGGAAGGAAAGGAAGGGAGGGAGGAAGGACACCAGAACAAUUUCUCUUUGGCUUGGACCCAUACGUGGAGAGCAGAAAAACUCCUUAUGGGAAAGUCUGGGGUUGUCUGGAGUCCAGGGAGGAAAAUGAAGGCUCUUUACUGAGGAUACCCACCUCCAACCCCACUACUGUCUGAUUGGCUCCUAGAAAGAUCAAGGCUGGUGAUUCCUUGCCCAGUCACUCUCUCCUUGACCAUAACUCCAUGAGGGCUCCGGUGCCAUCAUUAUUGCCCCAUUUUGUAGCACAGAGCAGAGAAGGGUCCCCGCCAAAGGGCAUAUAAGGAGCUGGGCCAGGAUUGGGACUCAAGUCCCCUGACUACCGAGCCAGGACUCUUUCCUACUCAUAACUCCAGAAUCAAGGAGCCUUUGAGUUUGAAGGCUGCAUGGAGAUUGUGUUGGCCAAGAACCUUCCAUUUUUGGCCCUGAUGCCGGGCCCUCAGCUUCCCUUCCCGCACGGGGAAUAAGCUGGAUGUGGACGGUCCCUGCAGCUCUGAGAGAAAUCGCGGUCAUAGUAGCGUUAAGGCCCCCACAUCUUCUGAAUAUCCGGCAAAACGAUCCGGACCUUAGGAGGUGCCUUCUUGCAAGGCUGGCCAAGGCCAUACCCUGUGUUGGAGCCAGGAAAGCUGGGUUCCUGAGUCUCCACUGUCAGUCAGUCAGCCACAGAUGAGGCUUCUGAGGCUUGAAUCGGGGGCAAGAUUCAAACUCCAAGUCUGGGAUCUCCCAGAGACUCCCCCGGCUCAAGGACAAGCUCAUGGCGGAGCGGAGGUGAGGAACAAGAGCAUAUCACGUAGUCUCUUCCCUCCCACAGCCCUAAGCUUGCUAUCCUCCCUCCCACUCCCCGAGGGGGCUUAUGAUCUCACAAGACACCUGCAAGGCCACCUGGGUGGUCCAUUGCUGAUACCUUACCUUAGCUAACAAGAGAGCUGACUCAGGAAGGUGAGUAAAGGUGUGUGUAUAUGGGUGUGUGUGUGGGGGGUUGGCUUCCUCUCUCCAGGAAUAUGGAUUUCCUCAGACAAAAUCUUCCCACGGAGCAGACCUCCCCCCACCAAGCCAGGAGAAUUCCAGUGACUGGCUCCAGUGGAAGGGUUUCAUUAGAAACCCCCCAAAGCAGGAGGCUGGAACCGGGCAAGAGAAAAUUUCCGAUACUGUUUACCCAACGAUUAGGCUUCUCCUUGAUUUAUUUACAUCGAACAUUUUGGUAACCAUCUGCUCUUAAACUAAAUGGAAAAUUAUCCUCCUCCUGCUGUGACGGCAUUUCCCUUGGAUGUUUUUAAUAAAAAAAAUCUAUCAUUUUAAUGUAGACA